UCUACAAUUGUAUAGUGGCUAGAGCGCCUCAUUGAGGCUGAGCAAACCGUGGUUCAAUUCCACCAUGUAGCA